UUGGCCAUUUUUUGUGAUCAGAAUUUCCCAAAUCGGAUCGUCUGCUUCUCCUUCUCGAAAUCUUGGACGAAGAAGAUGACCCGAGGAAAACAGAAGAUCGAAGCUCAAAAACGAAAUGCGGAGAAGAAUCAGAAGCCCAAAGGCUCACAACUCGAGGCCAGAGCGGUUGCCCUUAAAGUCAUCUGCCCUAUUUGCAAGGUACAACUAGCAAAUCAUAACCAAUUGGGUGAUCACUAUGCCUCCAAACAUCCAAAGGAAAAGCCUCCAGCAGAAUCUGGCUGAAUCUUCUUGCACGUCGAAGUAAGUGCGUCGGUAUAUUGAAGGAAGGCAUUUCGAAGUUCUCUACUUGUUCAGAUCAAUGAAAGUUGCUCUUAUUGUCUUCAUCUUUCUUGUUCUUAAAAUGUACUAGUCCUCUCCUUGUAAGGGUAAAAAUGAUGAGUCAUUCUGUCACUUGUAAAAUAAACUAGACUCUAAUAUUUAUUCCAGAUUCUCAUUAUAGUUUUCUAUGUGCAUUUGGAAAUAUGGAAUCCCAA